UACGGGGGGAGCAAGCGUUGUUCGGAUUUACUGGGCGUAAAGGGCGCGUAGGCGGCCAGUGCAAGUCAGUUGUGAAAUCUCCGAGCUUAACUCGGAAAGGUCAACUGAUACUGCUCGGCUAGAGUGCGGAAGGGGCAACUGGAAUUCUUGGUGUAGCGGUGAAAUGCGUAGAGAUGUGGAGGAACACCGAUGGCGAAGGCAGCCUUCUGGGCCAAUACUGACGCUCAUGCACGAAAGCGUGGGGAGCAAACAGG
rnacentral:rRNA from 1 species